rnacentral:lncRNA from 1 species
CCGGGCGGCGUCAGGGCGCGGAGGCUUGGCGGGCGGCGGCCUUGAGGGAGUUAGUCCCCUCCUCCCGCUCCACUUGCUAGGCUGUGGCCAUGGGAAGAUGAAGAAAUCAUCAUCCGGGCCCUCAAGUUGCUCACUGUAUCAAUGGGAAAAAGAUCCACCUCAGGAGUACAGAGGACAUGGUAAGUGCUAAAACAGUCAUAAACAAUACGCUCUGGAAAGGAGAAGAAACAAGUUGAUGAGGGACAGCAAGAGAGGUGUUAAGAGGUAAGCUUGUUGAUCUGGCUUGUAAUUAAAGAGCAAGAUAUGAAAAGGUAGAGAAGCCCAUCUUAAGAAGAGAGAAAAUGAAUAAAGACAGGGAUGGAAAUGUGCAAAUAUGUAGUUGGUAAGCAAUAGCUCACAGAAUACAGAGUAGGGUGGGUGAGUGACUGGACUACAAUUAGAAAGGGAAACUAGGACCAGAUUGUAAAGGCUAGGGAUUCUAUUUGUAAGCAGUAGGGUGUUUUGGAAGGCCUUUCAGCUAGAGGAUGAGCAACACUGUCAGAACUGUACUUUAGGGAGUUCCCGUUGUGACUCAGAGGUUAACGAAUCUGACCAGCAUCCAUGAGGACACAGGUUUGACCCUUGGCCUCACUCAGUGGCUUAAGGAUCCAGAGUUGCUGUGAGCUAUAGUGUUUGUUGCAGAUGCAGCUUAGAUCCUGCAGCUACAGAUCUGAUUUGACCCUAACCCAGGAACCUCCAUAUGCCUCAGUUGAGGCCCUGAGAAGCAAAAAACAAAACAAAACUGUACUUUAGAAAGAUGACUAGGAAGGAAAUCACAGAUGAACUGUCUACCAGAGGCCACAGACCAAAGGCCAGAUAAAUGAUUAGAAGGUGAUUACAGUAAUCAGCUGAGAGAGAGUGAGUGUAUGAAUUAGAACAGGCUUCCAGGAAUUGAAGGAAGGAAUUUGAAAGGGUCUCUCUUAAAUUCAUAGAUCUGCAGGCAAGUAAUAGUCCAUUUCUGAUUGGAACAUGUUGUGUCUAACACUGGGCAUUUUUAAGCUGGUGAGGAAGACAAAACAUGAGAAGACAUGCAAGUAUUUUCAAAGAUGUAAAGUCAGGCAUAAUAGUUGUAGGAAGUGAGAUAGAAGCAGUCACUAUGUGGAGUGUGAGCAGGGAGACACCACUGGGUUAGUUUUGACUGAUUCUGUGAACAUGAUUAGCUAAUGUUUUAUAUCAAAGACAACUUUGUAGAGGGAAAUGUCUAACAGCCUCAGUGAGACAAUUUUCACAUGCUUUUCUGUGAGAGUAAUUUGUAGGGUUAUUUUUCAGAUUCAUCCAAGAAAUUUUUGAUUCUGGGGACUAGCCUAAAGAUAGCAGAAAAAGAGGUAAAUACAUAAAACAAAGUAAAAAGUGAUCUUUCAGAUCUUCCUCAACUGACAGGGGGGUUAUGUCCUGAUAAACCCAUCAUAAAUUGAAAAUACUGUCAGUCAAAAAUGCAUUUAGGAGUUCCUGUUUUGGCUCAGCAGUAACGAACCCAACUGGUAACCGGAAGGAUACUGGUCGAACCCUGGCCUUGCUCUGUGGGUUAAGAAUCAGGUAUUGCCAUGAGCUGAGAGGUAGGUCUCAGAUGUGGCUUGGAUCCCGAAUUACUGUGGCUGUGGUGUAGGCCAGCAGCUGCAGCUUCCAUUCAGUCCCUAGCCUGGGAACCUCCAUGUGUCCCGGGUGCCACCCUAAAAAGGCCAAAAAAAAAAAAAAA